CACCUUCGGGUGAGCGGCGGACGGGUGAGUAACGCGUGGGAAUAUGCCCUUUGGUACGGAACAACUGAGGGAAACUUCAGCUAAUACCGUAUGUGCCCUUCGGGGGAAAGAUUUAUCGCCAUUGGAGUAGCCCGCGUUGGAUUAGGUAGUUGGUGAGGUAAAGGCUCACCAAGCCUACGAUCCAUAGCUGGUCUGAGAGGAUGAUCAGCCACAUUGGGACUGAGACACGGCCCAA
rnacentral:rRNA from 1 species